UAGGGAAUCUUCCACAAUGGGCGCAAGCCUGAUGGAGCAACGCCGCGUGCAGGAUGAAGGCUUUCGGGUCGUAAACUGCUUUUAUCUGUGACGAUUAUGACGGUAGCAGAUGAAUAAGGAUUGGCUAACUCCGUGCCAGCAGCCGCGGUAAUACGGAGAAUCCAAGCGUUACCCGGAAUUACUGGGCGUAAAGAGUUGCGUAGGCGGCUUAUCAAGUUUUUGCUUAAAGGCCAAGGCUCAACCUUGGAAAUGGCAAAAAAACUGGUAAGCUCGAGCAUGGUAGAGGUAGGCGGAAUUCCCGGUGUAGGAGUGAAAUCCGUAGAUAUCGGGAGGAACACCGAUGGCGUAGGCAGCCUACUGGGCCAUUGCUGACGCUGAGGCACGAAAGCGUGGGGAGCGAACGGG
rnacentral:rRNA from 1 species